GCUCAGUUGGUAGAGUAUGGUGUUUGCAACGCCAGGGUUGUGGGUUCGAUUCCUAC
rnacentral:tRNA from 1 species